GACGAACGCUGGCGGCGUGCCUAAUACAUGCAAGUCGGGCGGACUGGAGGGAGCUUGCUCCCAAAGGUCAGCGGCGGACGGGUGAGUAACACGUGGGUAACCUGCCUGGUAGACUGGGAUAACGCUUGGAAACGGGUGCUAAUACCGGAUAAUCUCCUGAAUCGCAUGGUUCAAGAGUAAAAGGAGCUUUCGCUUCACUGCCAGAUGGACCCGCGGCGCAUUAGCUAGUUGGUGAGGUAACGGCUCACCAAGGCGACGAUCCGUAGCUGGUUUGAGAGGACGACCAGCCACACUGGGACUGAGACACGGCCCAG
rnacentral:rRNA from 1 species